rnacentral:sRNA from 1 species
AACCAGUUGCGUUAGGGAUUAAAGUGAAAAGCCUUUUGUGAAGAAUGAACAAAAGCUUGUAGCGAAAAGCCCGACCCGUC